CAAAUGGCGGCCUCGGGCACAUCCCGGGGCCACGCCCGUCUGAGGGUCGGCAAGUCUGAAGCAGUCGUCUCCCAGGAAUUGGUUCGCACCGGCGAAGAACGGGCCGCGGCAACGAAAUGAGGGGCUAGUUCCUACUUACCGCAAGCUCCGCGCUCUUUGGAGCGAGCGGUAAGUGCUCUGUGGGAACUUUUCUCAGUUCGCUUGCCUGAUGCGGUCCGAGGAGACGCUCUGGGCUCUCGAGGACCUCCUGUGGUCCCCGUAGCCUGAAAUUGAUGCUGCGACGUCUGUGCAUAACAAUCUUCCACUGCAACGUUCGGCCGGGGGCCCAUCUGGCGCAGCGCUCUUUGCGCUCGGAUGGGCUUGGUCGCUCGGUCGGACGGGCUUGGCAUGUGCAUCUGCGCCGCCGCCGAUCGGCAGGACUCGGUUUGUGUGAUCAAUCCAACGAGCCUGUCGGUUGUUCGGCGGAGGGUAGCAGAUGCAGAGCGUGUCAGGUUAGGGUGGAAGCGGCGGCGCCCCUGAAACACACGAACAAACCUCCGACCUCAGAUCGGACGAGAUUACCCGCUGAAUUUAAGCAUAUAACUAAGCGGAGGAAAAGAAACUAACAAGGAUUUCCCCAGUAACGGCGAGUGAAGCGGGAAGAGCCCAGCACCGAAUCCCUCAGUGUGACGCUGACGGGAACUGUGGUGUGCGGGACGCCACCAGUCGCACCAGAGGGUACCGAAGUCCUCCUGAUCGGGGCUUCACCCAGAGCGGGUGUAAGGCCUUUGCUGGUACCUCUCUGUGCGGCCGCGAGCGUCUCAGGAGUCGGGUUGUUUGGGAAUGCAGCCCAAAGCGGGUGGUAAACUCCAUCUAA
rnacentral:rRNA from 1 species